UAACCUGCCUUGGAGUGGGGAAGUAACAGUCGGAAACGACUGCUAAUACCGCAUGAUGCAUUUGGGCUGCAUGGCUCUGAAUGCCAAAGAUUUAUCGCUCUGAGAUGGACUCGCGUCUGAUUAGCUAGUUGGUGAGGUAACGGCUCACCAAGGCGACGAUCAGUAGCCGGACUGAGAGGUUGGCCGGCCACAUUGGGACUGAGACACGGCCCAGACUCCUACGGGAGGCAGCAUG
rnacentral:rRNA from 1 species